rnacentral:rRNA from 1 species
AAUCAACGCUGGCGGCGUGCCUAACACAUGCAAGUCGAACGAGAAAGUGGAGCAAUCCAUGAGUAAAGUGGCGCACGGGUGAGUAACACGUGACUAACCUACCCUUGAGUGGGGUAUAACCUAGGGAAACCUGGGCUAAUACCGCAUAAUAUCGAGAGAUCAAAGGAGCAAUUCGCUUAAGGAGGGGGUCGCGGCUGAUUAGCUAGUUGGUGGGGUAAGUGGCCCACCAAGGCNGUGAUCAGUAUCCGGCCUGAGAGGGCGCACGGACACACUGGAACUGAAACACGAUCCAGACUCCUA